rnacentral:rRNA from 1 species
CCAUUGUUGUUCAUCUGGAACCUGCCGCCGACGAACAUACACAUCCUGUGUUGCGCUACACUGCUCGAACGAGUGCUGUUCAAACGGAAAUCCGAAUCCCCGCAAUCUGCCGAUGACGUGGACGAUGGCUAUUCGUCUCUUGUUUUGGAAAAUGGUAAAAAGCAAACCGUGAUCGAACAGCUGUCCGGCAACAAAGGUGCAGCUCGAGUGACCGUUUUGAACAAACGGCUGGGAUUUCGUGACAUUGGCAUUCUGUUGGACGUUGAUACGGAUGAAGUGAUCAAAAUCGAAGACUACUGUGACAGGCUGUCGGUUGUAUCCGGCAUCAAGGAGAUUUCCAACGCCAUUGAGUCAAAGCUGUUGUCCAAUCCGUCCACGGAUCAUCAGCAAUUUUGAAAGACGCAGUAGGAGAAAACAGAAACAGAAAACAAUUUCUCUCCAUUCUUGGCCAGCAUUUUUCAUUCUGUAGUUGCUAUAUCAUUAUAUAAAUCAGUUAAUCACUCAAAAUAUGAUCGAAUAUAAUCUUCAUUAUGUACAGUUAAAACGAUCAAAUUACGUACGUUUUGUUUUACUUCUACAAGUUUCUCUUUCACUUUCUUCUUGCAUCAACGACACUUAUUCACUAAAUACAAUUUCACAACAAAUAAAAAUGGAAAACGAAUCACAGAGCAAGAAAAUGCAAUCAAAUUGUAAUGUAACUAAUCCAAAUGAAUUUUACUAAACAAUAAGCUAAUUUAUUUAAUGUUCAGAGACCGUUUGACCACUCGGAUCACAUCCUGUGGUGUCGGUUGUGCAGCAGUUUCUAAGUUGUGCGCAUAUGGCAUUGGCACUUCGACGCCAGCCACACGCAAUACUGGGGCGUCCAAAUAAUCAAACGCUUCAGAUUCCAUCACUUGAGCGCAAAUUUCCGCUCCGACUCCGCAAAAAUGCCAACCAUUUUCCACAGUAACCAAAUGGUUGGUUUUCAUCACGCUCUGCUUGAUCGUUUCCAUGUCGAAAGGGCGCAGUGAACGCAAAUUUAUAAUCUCUGCCGAUACACCCAUCUUUUCCAAUUCUUCAGCAGCAUCCAGACAAACCUGAACCAUACGACUGAAUGAUACCAGUGUAAUGUGACUGCCGUCCCGUUCCACCUUGGCCACACCCAUCGGAAUCAAAAAGUCAUCCUUCAUCGCCUCUUCGGACAUGUCGAAUGGAACGCCGUACAAUAAUUCGCUCUCCAAGAAAACAACAGGAUUUUCAUCACGAAUAGCUGUUUUCAACAAUCCUUUCGCGUCUUCAGACGAAAAUGGAGACAGUACCUUCAUACCAGGACACUGUGCAUACCAGGAUGAAAAAUCUUGACUAUGCUGAGCGCCGACACCAACUGCAGUAGAGUUAGGACCGCGGAAAACAAUGGGCGAAGAUAUCUGCCCAGCUGACAUGUACAAAGUUUUCGCACUGCUGUUAACGAUGUGAUCGAUUGCUUGCAUGGAAAAAUUGAAAGUCAUAAAUUCGCAAAUGGGUCGGAGCCCUGCCAUAGCUGCACCAACCGCUAAGCCGGUGAAUCCCAUCUCUGUUAUGGGAGUAUCAACUACUCGCCUAUCACCAUACUUCUUCCACAGUCCUUUAGUCACUUUAUAUGCACCUUCAUACUGUGCAACUUCUUCACCAAUCAAAAAUACUCGAUCAUCUCGAUGCAUUUCUUCAUCAAUUGCUGCAUUUAAGGCAUCGCGAACGGUCAUUUUUGCCAGAUACGCAUUUGAGGUGGAAAAUGUACGAAUGUACGGUGAAAAAAGAACCACUUUGUUUCGAAUUCCGUAGCAGGUCUCCAAGGUGAAUAGCCUCUGGCCGAUAGAAUAAUGUAGGUAAGGGAAGUCGGCAAAACGGAUCCGUAACUUCGGAACAAGGAUUGGCUCUAAGGGCUGGGCCGAUCGGGCUGAGGUUUCAAGCGUGCAGUGUAUGCUUGGCUGAGUUGUGUUGAGGACUUGUUCACUUGCCGCCGUUUGUUCGGUUGGUCUAGUGUAUUCGAGUCUGAAGCAGAGCUGGCCGACAGACCGGCACGUGCAGAACCUGAGCUGCGCGGCUGUCCGUUUACGUGUACAGACCGUUUCGGUCGGCAUUCAACAGCCAACUUAGAACUGGCACGGACACAAGGAAUCUGACUGUAUAAUUAAAACAAAGCAUUGCGAUGGCCGAUGAUCGGUGAUGACGCAAUGUGAUUUCUGCCCAGUGCUCUGAAUGUCAAAGUGAAGAAAUUCAAUCAAGCGCGGGUAAACGGCGGGAGUAACUAUGACUCUCUUAAGGUAGCCAAAUGCCUCGUCAUCUAAUUAGUGACGCGUAUGAAUGGAUCAACAAGAUUCCUUCUGUCCCUAUCUACUAUCUAGCGAAACCACAGCCAAGGGAACGGGCUUGGCAAAAUCAGCGGGGAAAGAAGACCCUGUUGAGCUUGACUCUAGUCUGACUCUGUGAAGAGACAUGAAAGGUGUAGCAUAGGUGGGAGAUUGUCAAAUUGCCAUCGUUCGCGCGGUGGUCCGGUGAUCGCCAAUGAAAUACCACUACUUUGAUCGUUUCUUUACUUAUUCGGUAAAGCGAAAAAAUUGUGGCCAAUUUGGCGGUUUAUGUCGCUGUUGGUCAUUGUUUUCAUGUUAGAUUGAAGCUUUGUUUACAGCCGUCGCUUUGUGUCGCCAUUUGACGCAUUGUUGUACUGGGUUAUCCCGGUGUGUGGUGUAGUCAGUAUGGAUGAUCGGCGAUAGGUUUGAAGUGAUUCGCUCCGGAAACAGUGUCAGACGGGGAGUUUGACUGGGGCGGUACAUCUGUUAAACGAUAACGCAGGUGUCCUAAGGUAAGCUCAGCGAGGACAGAAACCUCGCUUAGAGUAAACGGGCACAAGCUUACUUGAUUUUGAUUUCCAGUACGAAUAGAAACCGCGAAAGCGUGGCCUAUCGAUCCUUUUGAUUGUGUAGAUUUCAUGCAAGAGGUGUCAGAAAAGUUACCACAGGGAUAACUGGCUUGUGGCAGCCAAGCGUCCAUAGCGACGUUGCUUUUUGAUCCUUCGAUGUCGGCUCUUCCUAUCAUUGCGAAGCAGAAUUCGCCAAGCGUUGGAUUGUUCACCCACCAAUAGGGAACGUGAGCUGGGUUUAGACCGUCGUGAGACAGGUUAGUUUUACCCUACUGAUGACAAGUCGUUGCGAUAGUAAUCCUGCUCAGUACGAGAGGAACCGCGGGAUCAGACAUUUGGUUCAUGCGCUCGGCUGAAAGGCCGGUGGCGCGAAGCUAGCAUCUGCAAGAUUAUGACUGAACGCCUCUAAGUCAGAAUCUUUUCUAGUCAUUGGCAACGAUAAGUUGCGUCCAGACUCGAUGCGAGGAAACGAUUAGGCUUUGCUAUACGGCGAAGCCAUUAUCAGACCACGGUAGCAGGCAGUAUGGGAUUGUUACGAAAAAGCAAUUUUUUGAAGUCAGUUGAAUUCAAUCAAACUGCUAACAAUUCCACUGCGAAUGACUCCAUUCGAAUCAAU